rnacentral:rRNA from 1 species
UACGUAGGGUGCGAGCGUUAAUCGGAAUUACUGGGCGUAAAGUGUGCGCAGGCGGCCGCGCAAGUCGAGUGUGAAAGCCCCGGGCUUAACUUGGGAAUUGCGCUCGAAACUACGUGGCUGGAGUAUGGCAGAGGAAGGUGGAAUUCCACGUGUAGCGGUGAAAUGCGUAGAGAUGUGGAGGAACACCGAUGGCGAAGGCAGCCUUCUGGGCCAAUACUGACGCUCAUGCACGAAAGCGUGGGAGCAAACAGG